CGACUCGUCGACGUAGGUAGUACCUACUGAAGUAGUACCGAUUGCCUAGUCUGUGUCUGUCUGUUGGCGUUUUGUGAUGAAAACGAAUCGUUGAAACGGUCUUGUCGUUUGAUAAUAAUUGAUAUUAUUCGAGUAAUAUGUAAUUAGGCGUAUGUUAUCGAGUCGAUUGAAUUGAAAAACAUUUUUUUUUUCAAUGGGGAACGUAGGUAACUGUUUUGUUGUAAAGAGUGUGUCGAGUGUAUCUCGUCCAUGGCCCAAGUUAGGUACUGUAGUCUGUAAUGUAGGUACCUUUGUGUAAAAUUUGAAUUCGGUGAUAAAUUAUUUUACCUAACGAAACACGAUUCUGAGCGGAGACGAGAUGGCUGAAUUCCCUGGUCUCAUCCCGUUGAUUCACAGUUACAUGUCCAGCAUGAUGGAAGUCGACACAGGCGUGCAUUGUACCAUUCAACAGUAUCUAAAGCUCAUUUCGCGUCGUACGUCCGGCCAAAUCGACACGACGACUAGUUGAAUACGUCGGUUUAUAAAAGAACAUCCGGCGUACAAGUAUGAACGAUAUACCAUUGCGAUCUCAGGCCCGUAGCCAGACAUUUUUUUUUUAAACAAUAUCAAAAAAAAUAUUUUUAGCAUAGCUGCUGUUAUCCUGUUAGUUUUAAUAUAUUUUAUACACACUGUAAUUAUUCAAUAAUAAUUGUUAUGCUUUAUUGAAGUACCUACCAUCGGUAACAAUGAAAAACACUAUAUUUUAUUACAAUAAAAAUUUAUUUAAUAUUAUACAUUUUUAUACUUAAUAUAUAUAUCAUGUAUAAUUGAUUAAUAAAAGUAACAUAUAAUACGUGAGAUGAAAUAGGGCAUAUUGGAAAUUAUUAGGAAAGAACAUAAUAUCUAUACUGUACAAGGUACACAGGUUCAUUGUACAAGUAUACACACGUACAUAAUAAUUAUAUAUAAAUUUCCUUUUUUAAACUGUUUGUUAUUUUAAUAUAUUAUAGUAUACUUUUAAAAUAAAUAAAAGUUAAUUGGCAUGCUUAGUCACUGUCAUCAUUUAUAAAGUA